rnacentral:rRNA from 1 species
AUGGAGUCGCCGCCGCCCAAGCGCAACGCCGGCCACGGCGGCGAGGACGGGAUCAGCGCGCUCCCCGACCACCUCCUCCUCGACAUCCUCGAGCGCCUCGACCUGCGCGAGGCGGUCCGCGCCGGCGCGCUCUCCACGCGGUGGCGGCACCUCCCCAGCCACCUCUCGCGCGUGCACCUCGAUGUCGCUCACUUCCGUGGCGCCACGCCGCUCGAGGUCAUGGACGCGUUCACGGGCGCGGCACGGGCCUUGCUCGCUCGGGUUCCUCUCGCCGAGGGCGUGUGCGGGAAUAGUGCCCUCAAGGUGCUCGUCCUCAGCUUCUACACGUCUCCCCCUCACCGGAGCUCAAUAGGCCGCCUCGUCGAGGACAUUGUGAGCUUGGGCAACACCCAAUGCCUUGAGUUUUGCAUAUCCCCGCCGCCCACUGACCCGCUGGGCAGCGAGAUUGAGAAUGUGCAGGAGUUCAUGGCCUUCUCCCGCGCCUACCCAGUUGCCUUCUCAUGGCUUACCAGGCUUACGCUCGAAUAUCAUGCUUUUGGACAUUCCGACAUCACUGACCUCAUUAGCACUUGCGGUAGGCUCAGGCACCUCAGCUUGAGAUUCUGCGGUCUGCUUGAUCUGCAAUCCACGCUCAAGAUCGAUGUGCCGUGCUCUGAGCUCCAGGAGCUCUACUUCAUCGGCUUUUUGUGCACGCGGAUUGAGCUCGUCUCUGUCCCGAAGCUUAGGCAAGUGGAGUGCAAAUGUUGGCACUUGGAGAACCCUCCGGUGCGCUUCGGCCACGUUCCUGAGCUUCGCGUUGUAAUUCUCUAUUCUAAAGCCAAUGCAUGUUUCAGUUGUGCAUGUAUCUUCUUGCUGCAGAUUUGGAUUCAGCCAGAACCUCCGAAGCAGCUCAUUGCUAUAUUCAGAAACCUGACCUCUAUGCUUCUUUUGCGUAUCUUUAGUGAGUGUGAUCUGAGCUGGACACUGUUUAUCCUUGAAGCUGCACCUGCCCUAUAUGAUAUGACAUUGUCUCGACAUUCAUGUACCAAGACGCCCAAGGACAGUGCCGAGAAGACCAACGUGGUGUGGGAGCCAUCUAAGGAUUUGAAGCACCUGAACUUGAAGGUGCUGCGGAUCUUCGGGUGCGAGGAAGAAGGCAAGGUGACAAACUAUAUAAGGCUUGUCAUGGAACGAGCUGUGGGGUUGUUGAAAAUCAAGCUGUACGGUGAAAGCCCAUGCAGGUCAACUCACACAUGGAUCAUCCUCAUCCGUGGAGAUAAUUAUCUGUUGACGGAUAUGGUCAGGGAGUGCAGUGGUCUCAUAAUGCUCGCAGGCUUGCAGCAGCUUGAGCAAUGA